UACGGAAGGCAGCAGUGGGGAAUAUUGCACAAUGGGCGAAAGCCUGAUGCAGCUAUGCCGCGUGUAUGAAGAAGGCCUUAGGGUUGUAAAGUACUUUCAUCGGGGAGGAAAAACAAAACUAAUAAUUUUAUUUCUUGACGUUACCCGAAAAAGAAGCACCGGCUAACUCCGUGCCAGCAGCCGCGGUAAUACGGAGGGUGCUAGCGUUAAUCAGAAUUACUGGGCGUAAAGAGCACGUAGGUGGUUUUUUUAAGUCAGAUGUGAAAUCCCUGGGCUUAACCUAGGAACUGCAUUUUGAAACUGAAAUACUAGAGUAUCGUAGAGGGAGGUAGAAUUCUAGGUGUAGCGGUGAAAUGCGUAGAUAUCUGGAGGAAUGCCUGUGGCGAAAGCGGCCUCCUAAACGAAUACUGACACUGAGGUGCGAAAGCGUGGGGAGCAAACAGGGAUUAGAUACC
rnacentral:rRNA from 1 species